rnacentral:rRNA from 1 species
GACGAACCGUGCGAACGUUGUUCGGAAUCACUGGGCUUAAAGGGCGCGUAGGCGGGUGUGCAAGUCUGUGGUGAAAGCCUCCAGCUUAACUGGAGAAGUGCCAUGGAUACUGCACAUCUUGAGGAGGGUAGGGGCAUCUGGAACGGUCGGUGGAGCGGUGAAAUGCGUUGAUAUCGACCGGAACUCCGGUGGCGAAGGCGAGGUGCUGGACCCUUUCUGACGCUGAGGCGCGAAAGCGUGGGGAGCGAACAGG